rnacentral:rRNA from 1 species
CGGGGCUCAAGCACACCGCCGAAACCGUGGCAUUCAGGUUUUCCUGGAUGGGUAGGGGAGCGUCGUGCACGAGGUGAAGCCGGGGCGGAAGCGCCGGUGGAUUGUGCACGAGUGAGAAUGCAGGCAUGAGUAGCGAAAGACGGGUGAGAAACCCGUCCGCCGGAUGACCAAGGGUUCCAGGGUCAAGCUAAUCUGCCCUGGGUAAGUCGGGACCUAAGGCGAGGCCGACAGGCGUAGUCGAUGGACAACGGGUUGAUAUUCCCGUACCGGCGAAGA